GAGGGCGGGAGGCGGCCCUAGCGCCAUUUUGUGGGCACGAAGCGGUAGCUCGGCUGUUGUCGGAUUCCUUCCCGCCUCUGAGUCCUCGUUGUGCUUCCUAGCAGCGGCCUAGCGGAGAUUUAAGCAAAGAUGUCUGAAUAUAUUCGGGUAACAGAAGAUGAGAACGAUGAGCCCAUUGAAAUACCAUCAGAAGACGAUGGGACAGUGUUGCUGUCCACAGUUACAGCCCAGUUUCCAGGGGCUUGUGGCCUGCGCUACCGGAAUCCAGUGUCUCAGUGUAUGAGAGGCGUCAGAUUGGUGGAAGGAAUUCUGCAUGCCCCUGAUGCUGGCUGGGGCAAUCUGGUAUAUGUUGUCAACUAUCCCAAAGAUAACAAAAGGAAAAUGGAUGAGACCGAUGCUUCCUCUGCAGUGAAAGUGAAAAGAGCAGUCCAGAAAACGUCUGACCUCAUAGUGUUGGGUCUUCCCUGGAAAACAACAGAACAGGAUCUUAAAGACUAUUUCAGUACCUUUGGAGAGGUUCUUAUGGUUCAGGUCAAGAAAGAUCUUAAAACUGGUCACUCGAAAGGGUUUGGCUUUGUUCGAUUUACGGAAUAUGAAACCCAAGUGAAAGUAAUGUCACAACGACAUAUGAUAGACGGGCGAUGGUGUGACUGUAAACUUCCGAAUUCUAAGCAAAGCCCAGAUGAGCCUUUGAGAAGCAGAAAGGUGUUUGUUGGUCGCUGUACAGAGGACAUGACUGCAGAGGAGCUUCAGCAGUUCUUCUGUCAGUAUGGAGAGGUGGUGGAUGUCUUCAUCCCCAAACCCUUCAGAGCCUUUGCCUUCGUUACCUUUGCAGAUGAUAAGGUUGCCCAGUCUCUUUGUGGAGAGGACUUGAUCAUUAAAGGAAUCAGCGUGCAUAUAUCCAAUGCUGAACCUAAGCAUAAUAGCAAUAGACAGUUAGAAAGAAGUGGAAGAUUUGGUGGUAAUCCAGUUCAUCUCAUUUCAAAUGUUUAUGGAAGAAGCACUUCAUUGAAAGUAGUGCUGUAAAUAUUCUGCCAUAGGAAUACUUCUGUCUACAUGCUUUCUCAUCCAAGAAUUCGUCAUCACGCUGCACAGGCUGCGUCUUUGACGCCCUGAAUGCAAAGAAUUCAUAGCAGUUAAUUCCCCUUUUUGACCCUUUUGAGAUGGAACUUUCAUAAAGUUUCUUGGCAGUAGUUUAUUUUGCUUCAAAUAAACUUAUUUGAAAAGUUGUCUCAAGUCACAUGGAUUCAUCACCUGUCAUGUAUUGACACCUGAUAGAUACCCAGACUUAAUUGCUAUUUGUUCUUGCAUUGUCCAAAGUGAAAGUUUUUCUUUGGGUUAUUUUGUUUUUAAUCUAGUUUUUUUAAGUCCGGGUGACCGCACCUAAAAUGGUAAGCAGUUACCCUCCAGCUUGUUCUGAGUGCCUCUGUGCAUUUGAGUGAUUUUCUAUUUACAUGGCUGUGUAAAUCUCCAUUGGGGAAUCAUGCCUUUUAAAAAUACUAUUUGGGAGAGGGGGCAAAACAGUUGUUUCCAAAUGCUUUGUAGCGGAGCAUAUCAAUGGAAAAAGAAGGGAUAAGCCCCUUUCUGUUUGGGGUUUGAAAAAGUGGAAUUAAUUGCAAUAGGGGUGAAGUAGAAGAAACCAAGAAACCAUGUGCCUGAAAUCCAUUAAGAAGCCUGAUAGCUUUAAGAACUAGUAGGGUGGGUGGUCUUCUCUGUGGCAGUCUUGAGUGAGGUAGGCUUUUGCCCUCCUAAUGGGCUAUGUAGUGAUGAAUAAAUAUGCUCACAAAAUCAGAUUAGACUGUCAAUGCAUUGUUAAGAAUGUAAAAGCAAUAAUACAUUGAUUAUUGUACUUUUUCUGUAACUACUGGGGACUGAAGAGCUCUUUUUCUAACUGGAAGAAUGUGACAGUUUUUGUGUUGGUAGUUUCCCUAAUGCCCUUACCUACAUAGAUUAUGAUAAAUAGGUUUGUCAUUUUGCAAGUUGCGUGUUUUAAAAUUUUAUAUCCUUUAGAGACUUGUUAUGAACACAUUGUUUCAUUAUACAGUAUCCUCUGUAAAAGGAUCGUGAGUUAUUGUAAAUUUUUUUCUCUGCAUCUAAGCCUGCAUGAUUUCCAAACCCUGUACAUCUGAAUUUUGCAUUUUAGCACUUGCACUAUUACUCAGCAGCAGUAACAUGGUAACAUUAAAAUGGUUUUCGGGGACCUCCAAAGACUAAAACUGGCAAGCCGUCCAGGAGUCCUGGGGUAAGUUACUUGUCAAUGGCAUGGUUUUGAUCCCUUCCUUGCACUUGUUAAAAGACUUACUGGCCAUAGAAGGCUUUCAGUGUUGAGUAGCCUUUUAACCUGUUUAUGGUAUGACAUAGCUGUAGAUAGUUACUUGCCGUAAAUCAAGUUUUAGAAAUAAACUACUUGGCAAAGAUUUGUUUUUGAAAGUCUGGUCAUCAACGCGUUCAUUCCGUAAUAGUAAUAAUGAAAAACAUUUCUUUGAACCACAGUUGAAUAAAAGGUUUUCUUGCCACCAACAGUUUAGUGUCUGGAGUCUUACUGGAAAAAAAUAAAAACCUUUCUAUAUCAUGACAAUGCUGGAAGUUAAAGUGACUCUGGGAAGAUGCAGUACAGCAUUUUCAUCCUUUGAAAUGUGAGUCUCCAGCUGGGUGUGGUGGCCCAUGCUUUUAAUCCAGGAAUUUGAGGCAGGUGCAAGUGAAUUGUAGGCCAGCAGCCAUUGCUCCAUCGGGGGGCCCUGUUUUAAAAACUUGUUAGACGUGCCAAGUAAAAUCAAAAAUGACAUUUAAGGUUAAGUCAGCGUCUCAGCAGGAGAACAGUUUAUUUCAUGAUGAAUUGCUGUUUUUGUUACAUAAGAGAAUGACUCUACUAUGUAGAGUUAUGUCUGGCUUCCCUGUACCCAAGUAGUUCGUGAGCAACUAAGAAAAGUGGGCUGGGUAUAGUGGAAUACCUGGUCAGGUUUUUGAAAUGGAUUGCUAAUUUGUCCUUUUAAAGAGUAAAAUACUGUAUCAUGGGUUUUAAUUUGUUUCAGUUUGCUGAAUGUGGGAGAACACGCCUAUAAUCCCAGUAUUCUGUAAUGGACUUGGUUGUUUUUAAUAGCUGGUCUACUGAUGUAAAAGUCAAAACACCUGCUUUCAGUUUACCUUCCAAAAGAGAAGUGACUUUCUCAGGUAUUCUGGAACCAGUACUGCUACACUCUGUUAGAGCACUUUCUGAGCCCAUUAAAGAGCAAAUCUACACACUAGGAAAAUCACCAAGCCCAUUGUUGGCCAGAAAUGGGAACAGCCAGUAUGAAAUUAGACUGUAGGGAAUCAAAUACAGCUUGACAUAGUCUGUGUGGGGUUGGCAAAGCACUGCUCUUUUGAACAGCACAAAUCAAAGCUGACAUUGUCAAGUGUCCUGUACCUGUAAUGAUCUUAUCUGCUUUGAUUUGGGGUAGGCUGUAAUUCAUCUCGGGUUUACCACUAGGCUUCCCGUGUACUUGUAGAAAUAAGGAACAAUGUACUGAUUGGAGGAUGCAAAUUAGAAAUUACUUGUUAUGUUCUCAAUCCAGGGAAUAUAGUUUAUGACUUUUGUGUAGACCCCAUACUGGUUUGCCUCCCCACAAUAAAUGGAACCCCAGGAAACUAUUCCUCCCACAAACCAUCGUUGUGUUUCACUAUCUAGAAACACUAAUGCCCCUCCACUGUCACCUCUGCAGCUGUCCUUGCCACCGGUUUCUAAGCCUGCACAGAGCAUGUUAGCAGUUACUCUUGCUUCUGGGAGGAGCUGCUUUUCAUACGCAGCAGUACAUUUUUGGUGGUCAACAAUUGGUAUGUCCACAAACAUUAGGUGUCUAGCAAGAAACCCCUUCUUGGUUAACCCCCAGCCAGCCACAGUUCCAGUUCUCAUUAAGGAUGCAGCUUCUUUCCUUGGUAGGCAAACAGGUGUGAUGUUUCUGUUGAUUGUGACUUUGUUCUUGAGUUUAAUCAGUGCUAUGUCGUUGUCAUAACCAGCACCGUGAGUGUAACCUUCAUGUAUAAAGACAGCCUCUGGCCAGGCUUGAGUGUAGUGAGGCGAGAGCCUUUUGAGGAGACCCAUCCGGAUGUCCAGGGAGGACACUGCCUCUGUGUUCCCAUAGACAGCAUGAGCAGCUGUUAGGACCCAGUUGUCAUGUAUAAGUGCACCUGAUGCUGUAGUUUGACCCAGUAACAAGACUUGCCAAGGAAAGUCGCCAGGCUUUGCAGGCUUGCCUCCAACUAUACGUCCUCCUAUAGUGUGUGUGGACAGCCCACAAACUGAGGAAAAAACAAGUACUUAGUGUCAGCCAAAACUUACAUCCUACAAGUUGAUAGCCAUCCUCCACGUUGGCAGGGGAGGGGGGGGGGAGGCCCUUCUAAAUAGUAUAUAAAGACCUCCAAAGUCCUUGCUAGUCUGCUAAGCUCCUUGUAAGAGACUUCGGAUUGUUAGGUUUUGUUAAAACAAGAUGAUGGAGUCUAUAGACAGGACUUGCGUGCUGGACAUGACCCUGCCUGGAGCCAAAGGGCAGACCCCCUCACCACACCCUGCACUGCUUGUCUUACUUUUUUAGAGCUUACUAGGAAUUGUGGGAAAACAGGAACUAUGAUUUACAAAAUCCCUGUUGACUGUACAUAUAACAGUCUACAUUGCAGUGUUGCAGCAAUAGCCAAGGUGCUUCUGGUUCCAGAGUUGGUGAUUUUGGUCUGGUUGAGUCAUCCAAACAGUGUUAGCGUUCAUUGCAAGCUGAGUGCUCAGGAGUGCAACAUCCGCUCCUUACUGGGCUUGUGCACUGUGAUUAAAACUUAGAAGCAGCAUGUCAGCCAAAUCCAGGGCUAGGAAACUAAUUGAAACGAGCUAACACAGGGGUAAUGAGUGUAUUAUUACCUUUCAAUUAAAAAAAGCAUUCUCAACUAUUGGAGCCAAUUCUGGUAAAGAAAUUUAAGUACUAUUAAAAGGCAAAUUGCAUUAAUGUUUAAAAAUCUAGAUGUCAUUGAAAACAAUUGCUUAGGGAAAUAAUGAAGUUAUUAGCUUUGGGGUUUAAUAGCAUUUUUACAGAGAAGAAAAGUAACAAGAGUUCGUGGUUAUAAAUGUAUAAUGGUUUGAGAUAAUUUAAGAAAUGAUUUAAUUUUUUAUGCUUGCCUAGUUAUGAGGUCAGAAACAAUCCAGUGCACAUGAUGCAGUCCGCACCUACCUUCCGUGUGGGAGGAGUACUGUGAGCUCACUGCUGGGGAGCAGUGAGCCAGCCUAGGCCAAGUGCUGGCCUUCCUUUCUGCCUCCCCAGCUAGACCUGCCUAUUGUCUGCCAGCUACUCUCUGCCAGCUAUGAAUCUCUUUUAUAAGUGCGUCCAUUACCAGGCUCACAAACCGGGAGGGAUUUUUCUCCUUUGGAGCUCGUCCAGAAUCCAUCAGCUUCACAUACAUAUUUACCUGCAAAUCAUUGGAAAAGCAAAAAUGUUUAGCUGCAGUUGUCAUUUGCUUGAAUAACCCCUUGAAAAAUGUUGAUUCUUGAGCAUCCGUGGUGGGGAGAGGUGUGUGUGAAUAACCAUUUUACAUGAUUUCAUAAAUAGGUAUCUGCAUUACCAUGUUUGCUUGCAAAGUGGAAACCUUUUAGAUGUGUAACUUGAAUAUGUAUCAAGAUCUCAAGUGCUUAAUGAUAAGGUUUUGACUUGUUAAAUUAAACCAUUUGGAAUAUA